rnacentral:rRNA from 1 species
GACGAACGCUGGCGGCGUGCCUAAUGCAUGCAAGUCGCACGCGGCACCUUCGGGUGCUGAGUGGCGAACGGCUGAGGAACCCGUGGGGACCUGUCCGGGAGUGGGGGACAACACCGCGAAAGCGGUGCUAAUCCCGCAUACGCUCUGAGGAGGAAAGCCGAAAGGCGCUCCCGGGUGGCCCUGCGGCCCAUCAGGUUGUUGGUGGGGUAACGGCCUACCAAGCCAAUGACGGGUCGCUGGUCUGUGAGGACGACCAGCCAGACUGGGACUGGGACACGGCCCAGACUCCUACGGGAGGCAGCAGCAAGGAAUUUUCGGCAAUGGGCGCAAGCCUGACCGAGCAACGCCGCGUGCAGGAAGACGGCCUUCGGGUUGUAAACUGCUUUUGCUAGGGAGGAUAACAGACAGUACCCGGCGAAUCAGCCCCGGCUAACUCUGUG